rnacentral:lncRNA from 1 species
UGUCGUACGAAUUCCACCCAUUCUGGAUCCUUAUCCGGUUGAUUCAUAUAGUGGGAUAGUAGCUGCAGCUCAGAUGGGAGAAUACCAAAGAGGGAAUGAAGUAAAAUAGCAUCAAACAAGUUAGCAUAGAUCCUAUAUCCAAAAGUAACCAAGCAAUAAAGACAUAUGAACCAUUUCAGAAUAGAAAGAGCCCGCUGUAACUUGGGCCUUGUUAUAUAGUAGAAAAAUAGUUUCACUUCUAAAUCCAAAGGGAGAUAGAACCUCAUAAGAAUGAGGAAAAGGCAUAACCAGAAGAAAUAAGUGAAUUUAUCCAGUUGAGGCAUUCUUGAUUGAUUGAGACAAAACGAUUCCCUCAAUACAGCUUAACUCCGUCAAGCCUGUACGAGUAGUGAAGAAGUAUAGAGCACUUUGGUUGUUUGUUGACCAACGGAAAGCAUGGGAGAAAAAAAGAUGCACAAACGAAAAAGGGCCAAAAAAAAGGACGAAGUCAUUUCAUAUAUAAAAAGAGUGGUACACUGAACACGAACCCAAUAUCAAAGAACUAAAGAGGAAGCUAGUCGAUCAUUCAACAG